AACUAUUGCAUUAGUCCUCAUGGUGGAAUUUUCAACUGAUUUUGCUAUCAUAUGUCAUAAUUAGUCAAGAUAUCUGCAAAAGUUUUCGACCGAUCUUGAUGAAACUUGGUACACAUGUUCUUUGGGUAAUUAUCUUGAACGAGUUCGAAGAUGAGCAAAAUCGGUCAAUUAAUUUAGAAAUGGCGGCUACUUAAAAUUUUCAAAAUAGUGAAAAUCACGUUUUCGGUUACUUUAUUGAUGUAUAACUUUUGAU